rnacentral:rRNA from 1 species
GGAUUAAUUUACUGGUCGUGCUAUUGUACGUACUGGUUUUAUUGAUUCCUCCCUUCUGACGAACUAUGAUGCCAUUAAUUUGGUGUCUUAGGGAAUCAGGACUGUUACUUUGAAAAAAUUAGAGUGUUUAAAGCAGGCGAAACAGCUUGAAUACAUUAGCAUGGAAUAAUAAAACAGGAC